GGAUUAUGGUCAGUCGCAGAAAAGAGUGGAAAGCAGACGCUGGUUGAAGCUUAUGAUGCCUUGACUGUGAACGCUGAAACAACGCAGCACGACUGCUCAGGAUUCACUCCCAGCCCAGUCACGAUCUUUACAUCUCGCCAAAGUGAAUCUGACCCCUGAUACUGGUUUCCCGGGAGACGCCUGGUUGCCUCACCAACACGCUCAGCCGGAUAAAGGCAUAGUACUGCAGCAGUGGAGGGCUUCACUCCCAUAAAACACCGGCGAAUGAGAGAUCCUGACAAGUCCUCUCGGCCCUGCACCAGUCAACAGAUGCGAAAUGGCCUGAUAGGCUCCCCAGAGAGAUGAAGAGCUGGAUGGGGAGAGGUAGAAGAGGAGAAGAGAACGGUGAGGAGGGGAGGGCAGAAGGAGGGCGAGAUGGGUGAUGUAAAUGUCUGUGUACACCUACACCUAAUAAAUACUGACAGAUAAAUGACAGUUCCUCUCACUUAUUUAUACUUUUUAUUAUGAUGAUUUUAUGGUUGUUUUACUUGAUAAGCAGAAGUUCUGUCAUUGAUUUUGCCAUGUAAUGAUACAAGAGUAGUUCGUGUGAUGGCGCAACAGCACCCUCUAUCGAAGACUGAUGGCGCUACAACAGCUGCUCACUGCAGCUUUGAGCUGUGCUGAUGAAGUAUGCUUCUCAGUCUCCGUGACGAUCUCAGUCUUCACUAAAGUAAAUAUAUCUACCUUCUGAUUAAGACAUGUUGGAUUUUUCUCAGCCAAUGACUAUGUAGAUUGUAUGUAUAGUAUAUAUAAUUUUUGCUGCUGCUCCACUUAUGUUCUUCUUCAGUUGACGUCUUGCAUCUUCAUCAGUGCAU